rnacentral:lncRNA from 1 species
CUCGCCCUUAGAUGCUCUCAUCUUCUCUACUCUCUCAAACCUAACCAUAGACUCCGUCAAACGCCUCCUUCUCUGGUCAUCUUCGGCCACCAUCCUUUCAACCCAAGGCUCCAAUGAGUCUCUCAUCAUCUCUAAGACCUUCAAGGGUCCUGGGCCUUGCCGAUUUAUACCUAGGAUUUCUUUUUAUGUUACUCAUGACUUCUCCGCUGUGAUUUUGGGCAAAAUCAUGCCUCAUAUGUUACGAUCAGUGUAGUCUGCAACAGGUUCUUUCGAUUUCUAUUUGGGUUUCCUUUUGAAACCCUAACUCUCUUCUGAAUCUCUCAGAUCUGUAUUAUUUUCACACUCUAAGCCUGUUUUCUUCUAUGAUUUGCUUAUUCUCGAGCUUAUUCUGAAAGAUCCUCCACUUUAAAUCGUGUUUUCUUUCUUUAAAAACUAGGGUUUCUCGGAGAUCCUUCUACGAUUGUUGAACCGAUUUUCUUAUGAUUAAACCUUUUUCCUUACUUAUUUUGACUGAUUUUAUGCUCCUACGGCUUUUUUACUCAACUCUGUUAAAUCCCAAAUUUUUAAUAAUUUCUUUGCUUUUGUUCUAUGUGUUAGCAUGAUUUUCCUUGCUUUGGUUCUGUGAGUUAGAAUGAUUUUUCUAUGCUUUGUGAGUUAGCACUAUUUUCCUUGCUUUGGUUCUGUGAGGUAGCAUGAUUUUCUUUGUUUUGUGAGUUAGCAUGACUUCUUUGCUUUGGUUCUGUAUGUCAGCAUGAUUCUCUUUGCCUUGGUUAUGUGUGUUAGCCUAAUUAUUUGAUCCUUGUUGAUCUCUCGUGGUCACCAGGCUUCGAAUGUGUUUACUGUAUUCCUAGCCUAUUUAUGUCACUUAUGUGUAACUAUGCUUACUUUGUUUGUUAUCUCUUGCUUCUUGCUAUCAAUUUGGCUGACCUUGCCAUCUGCUAUGUUUCUUGAGCUCCUCUAUUUAUAUGUUGAACAUCAAGAAUCGUGACUCCUUCUUGAUUGAUUCUAACUUCCUUAGUUGUUGGUGAUUAAAAUAUUUUAUUUUAAAGCCUUACAAGUUUUUACCCAUCUGUUUAAGCUGACUUAUUUCCUUGCCAUAUUUGUUGUAAUACUUAUUUCUACUGCUUUGUGUCCUUAAUUAAGGAUUUAUAAAUUUGGUUUGAAUCGACUACUCUAUGCUUAUUGAACCUCGACUAUUUCCUUAUUUAGUCAUGCACUGAUUUUUCUUCUCUCCUUAUAUGAUAUUAAAACUCCCCGUUUGAGUUGAUUCUCUUAACUUAAGGGAGUACUUCCUUGAUUCUCUAAUUGAUUGAUUCUGAGUUCUUAAAUUAGUAUACUACUCUGAGUUUUUACCUUAUUUCACUAACUACUUUCAACUAUAAAUACUCUAAGUCUUUCAUUAACAAGGAACGAAAUGCUGGAUUUUCAAAACUCAUCUCUUAUUAAAAAUAUAUGGUCCUCAUUCUCUCUUGUGCUAUUUGCUGCUAUUAGCCGGCUGCAAGCCAAGGCUAAUCAUCCGUGCUCUUUGAUUCUUUCAUUCUGCUUAUUUCUAUCUUCACUGAUAUGUCCUAGUUGCCUCAACAACAACAUGCUUCUUUUCUUGUUUCAACUUCUCUUAUUUCUAGUAUGCUUCUACUUUUGGUUCUGUUGUGAAACAUGUAGUUAAGUCACAUUACUAGCAUGCUACUAUAUCUCCCUUCCCUUUAAAUCAAUGUAUUCCCUUAUGUGAUUCAAGGCAUGCAUGGAUAAUUGUCUUUUACAUGCUGUGUACUUGCCAUUUUUGUGAAAUACUUAUCACCCAUUUAUAUGUAUUUGUAUUCUUCUUGACUGGUUGUGAUUAUUCAUGUGUCAACUAUCUCUGAGCAUGUCCAAUCCAGUCAUAAGACCCAUUCCUGGGCAUGUGUUUGCAUUCAAAUGUUUAUGUAUCCCCAAACCCCUUGACCCCUGUAUGAUUAUUGAAUUUUGAAAACCAGCCAUGUGUGAUCUUUUACCAAGGUGUUUAAACUUCUUUACUACUCCAGCCUUCUUUCAAGCUAUCUCUGUUGCUUUACUAAGUGCUUUCAAAACAGACUUUCCAAUAUAGUCUUCAAUAACUCUUUCAAACUUGUGUCCUGGACUUCCACUUAACUCUUAAUUAAUAAGUUCUGCCUCCUUUAGUAUGUGUACUGCCUUGGAAUCCUCUUGAGAGCCCUCUGAACUCUGGCAUAUUGAGGUUGGCCUUUCCACACUACGCUAGUUCAAUGCAUGGUUACUAAGUCUAGGUUUAAGCAUUGCCCGGGGUCCUUGAGACCUUUAGGGAACUUUGAUGCACCUGGACUCUGAUUUGUCUAUGGAAAUGAGGCUUGUAAGACCAUUGGAGACUUUGGGAAACUUGGGCCUAGUUGCAGGCUCCCUAUAUAAUAGCUUCUUGAUUUUCUAUUUCAUUUAUGUAAUUCAUUCAUCAGCUUGAAAUAAUUUGUAAACAAACACUUGGGGCUAUUUAGUGAAAAGGGUGGGUAGAUGUAUACUUUGUAGGUUAAUAUGGGUAGAAAUCCUGCUCUUAGGAUUUUGCUUCUCAAAUCCGCCUUAUGUACUCAAUAGAAAACAUGUUCUUGUUCAAUCUGAUUGCUUUUGCAUAAUAGAGAUCAUGCCUAUAAGAUUUCAUUUCUAAUUUCGUGUGCAUCAAAUAGAAAUCAUGCCAAUAGGAUUUCAUUUCUAAUUUCGUUUGAAUUAAAUAGAAAUCAUGCCUAUAAGGUUUCACUUCCAAUGUCAUUUGCAUUCGAUAGAAACCAUGUUCGUGAGAUUCUGCAUUUGUCAUAUUAGAGACCAUGUUUCAAGGUUCCAAACCAUCAUGUCUUAAAUGAAUCCAAGUAUAGAUACCAUGCCUAUAUGAUAUAAUUCUACUUCAAUUAUAAUAAGUCCUUCCUCAUGUUACUGCACAUUGACUAAAACUAGUAAUACGCCUAGAUACCAUGCCUAUAGGGAUUUCUAUUCAUAACUAUGUCUGAUAAUCUAAUUAUCCUAAUAAAUUAAUUUCAUUUCGCCUAGUUUACUUCAUAAAACUGACCUUAUUAAGUGUCAACAUUUCCCGAAAUCAGUUCUUUCAAAAUCGCUUUAACCUCAUUAGAUAUCCUGCCUAUAGGUAUUAAAAGGGUCUAUUUCGAAAACCUGUUUGUUUCUGCAUUAAUCUAGAUACAGUAUACUGCAUAUAGUCAAGCCUUAGGGCAUUCUUAGAAACAGCAUUCUCUGAAGUUGUUUUUGUCAUUUAACGUUUCUAAUCCUCACCGCUUUAAAAGAAGUCCUUAGGAAAAUGCUAAGUUACAACUUUUUGGUAUAAAGUUUGGUCUGUUUCUGCAUAUUCACUUAGAUAUCCUGCUUUUGGACUUUAAUUAACAAAGACCUUAAUUGUGCUUGAGACGUGUUUCUUGUAUGUAUGUUUGAGGAGGAAACCGUGAGCCUCUUAAUUACUCAUAUUAUGUGAAAGUCCUAAAUGUUUUGACUGUCGCCUUAGAAUUUUUGCCCCUUUAAACCUUAGGAGUACGCCUAGAACUACCUAUAGGUAGAGGUCCUAACACCCUCCGGGACCACUAAGAAGGGACGGGUAGCGGCAUGCAAUAGGAACAGUAACUAAACAUUCACUUUGCAUAACCAAUAGGGGAUAAGAAGGUUAGACAUGAGACAUGAUGACUACACGUUAAUGUCACGUGUUACCCCUCAUUGAGGAGUGUCUACCGGACAUUACGUAGGGUGAUCCUAUAGAAUAAACAACCUAGGACCCCUCUUUACCCCAAAUCGUCUCCUUAUUUAAACCCCUUUUAUGUAUAACUUGUUCAAAUCUUUAUUUCACUACUUGAAUUGUUCAAUCUGCUUUACAAACAACUUAUCUGAUUCAACCAUUUGUAUGGACUAAUUUGUAAAUAUAAUUUCGGCCGGGACCCAGAGUUGUGGACCAAGAGGGGUGCCUAACACCUUCCCCUCGAGGUUACUUCGAGCCCUUACCCUAAUCUCUGGUAAUGCAAAUCAACCUAAGAGUUUAUUACUCCAGGUGCCCUAAUGCAUAUUAAUUCGUUAGGUGGCGACUCUUCAAAUACCCAAUUCUUAAAAGGAAAUGAGUCAUUACACCCCGUGAAUGUCAAAAC